CGUAGGGUGCAAGCGUUAAUCGGAAUUACUGGGCGUAAAGCGUGCGCAGGCGGUUUUGUAAGACAGGCGUGAAAUCCCCGGGCUCAACCUGGGAAUUGCGCUUGUGACUGCAAAGCUGGAGUGCGGCAGAGGGGGAUGGAAUUCCGCGUGUAGCAGUGAAAUGCGUAGAUAUGCGGAGGAACACCGAUGGCGAAGGCAAUCCCCUGGGCCUACACUGACGCUCAUGCACGAAAGCGUGGGGAGCAAACAGGAUUAGAUACCCUGGUAGUCCACGCCCUAAACGAUGUCAACUGGUUGUUGGGUCUCUUCUGACUCAGUAACGAAGCUAACGCGUGAAGUUGACCGCCUGGGGAGUACGGCCGCAAGGUUG
rnacentral:rRNA from 1 species